AAGUCGUAACAAGGUUUCCGUAGGUGAACCUGCGGAAGGAUCAUUAACACGUAUCCAACGUUAAACAACCCUGUGAACCUUGAACGUGCUCUCGCACACGCUCUAGCAGCAAUCCCUGGUAAAUCAUUGUUGACCAGCUAUUGAGUCAGGGACCUCUGCUUUAAAACGAUGCGAUACGAGCGCCAGAGUAAGUGCGGCCUGGCAUCCUAGCAAUCUGUCAGUGGUUGCGCAAGGAUGGCGCAGUAAACGAUCGCUGUAGGCCCACACGGCCGGCGACCGGGCCUCUGUGCUUCGGCAACCUAACGACCCCAUGUUUCGUACCCGGUGCGCUGUAACAACCGCACCACAAACUCGAACAACUGUUAACAAUGGAUAUCUUGGUUCUC
rnacentral:misc_RNA from 1 species